UACGUAGGGGGCAAGCGUUGUCCGGAAUCAUUGGGCGUAAAGAGCGCGUAGGCGGCCCUGUAAGUCCGCUGUGAAAGUCAAGGGCUCAACCCUUGGAUGCCGGUGGAUACUGCAGGGCUAGAGUCCGGAAGAGGAGAGUGGAAUUCCUGGUGUAGCGGUGAAAUGCGCAGAUAUCAGGAAGAACACCCGUGGCGAAGGCGGCUCUCUGGGACGGUACUGACGCUGAGACGCGAAAGCGUGGGGAGCGAACAGG
rnacentral:rRNA from 1 species